UGGAAUCGUCCGGUUGGAAUAUUAUUGAAGUUUUAUGUUUAAAAAGGCCCUAAAGAUUGAUGCUAUACUACGUUUGACAUGUUUCUACGAACAUAAAUAUAACUUUUUUUGACUUUUCGUCGUGAAAUUUUCCUACAUUUGAAGUACUGAAUGCGCUACCCAAAAAGGAGGUAUUUGGACAUAAAUUAUGGACUUUACCGAACAAAACAACAUUUAUUGUGGACCUGGGAUUCCUGAGAGUGCAUUCUGAUGAAGAUCAUCAAAGACAGGUGUGCUGGAGUCAGAGCAGAUCCCUACCAGCUGCAAAUCAAACCUCUACAUAUACUCAUUCCUGCCAGAUCGUAAUCUCUGCUCAUUACCGCUCUCUCUGGCUCCUGUCUCCUGUACCACAUCUCACCC
rnacentral:lncRNA from 1 species